rnacentral:rRNA from 1 species
CUUAGGACCGUUAUAGUUACGGACGCCGCUUACUGGGGCUUCAGUUCAGAGCUUCGCUUACGCUAACCCCUCUCCUUAACCUUCCAGCACCGGGCAGGUGUCAGCCCCUAUACUUCGCCUUACGGCUUCGCAGAGACCUGUGUUUUUGCUAAACAGUCGCUUGGGCCUAUUCACUGCGGCUUUCCGUUAAGAAAGCACCCCUUCUCCCGAAGUUACGGGGUCAUUUUGGCGAGUUCCUUAACGAGAGUUCUCCCGAUCAUCUUAGGAUUCUCUCCUCGCCUACCUGUGUCGGUU